CUUAGUACGGCGAGUGAGCGGUAAAAGCUCAAAUUUGAAAUCUGGUACUUUCAGUGCCCGAGUUGUAAUUUGUAGAAUUUGUCUUUGAUUAGGUCCUUGUCUAUGUUCCUUGGAACAGGACGUCAUAGAGGGUGAGAAUCCCGUUUGGCGAGGAUACCUUUUCUCUGUAAGACUUUUUCGAAGAGUCGAGUUGUUUGGGAAUGCAGCUCAAAGUGGGUGGUAAAUUCCAUCUAAAGCUAAAUAUUGGCGAGAGACCGAUAGCGAACAAGUACAGUGAUGGAAAGAUGAAAAGAACUUUGAAAAGAGAGUGAAAAAGUACGUGAAAUUGUUGAAAGGGAAGGGCAUUUGAUCAGACAUGGUGUUUUUUGCAUGCACUCGCCUCUCGUGGGCUUGGGCCUCUCAAAAAUUUCACUGGGCCAACAUCAAUUCUGGCAGUAGGAUAAAUCAUUAAGAAUGUAGCUACCUCGGUAGUGUUAUAGCUUAUUGGAAUACUGCUAGCUGGGAUUGAGGACUGCGCUUCGGCAAGGAUGUUGGCAUAAUGGUUAAAUGCCGCCCGUCUUG
rnacentral:rRNA from 1 species